rnacentral:ncRNA from 1 species
GUUGGUUCAUAGACCAUUGAUUAAAAAGGGAACCGGGUGUGAAUCCCGGACAGUCCCGCUGCUGUGUUAGGCUUUAUCAACAAGCAAAAUGUCACUGGAUUUUCUUCGGGAAGACGCUUGUUGAUGCCUUUAGUCAGAAGACCUGCCACUGCGUU